GGUAGUUUAGUGUAGUGCUUAUCACAUUCACCUCACAUGCGAAAGGCCCCUUGUUUGAAACCUGGCAGAAACA